rnacentral:rRNA from 1 species
AGAGUUUGAUCCUGGCUCAGGAUGAACGCUAGCGGGAGGCCUAACACAUGCAAGCCGAGCGGUAUUGUUUCUUCGGAAAUGAGAGAGCGGCGUACGGGUGCGGAACACGUGUGCAACCCGCCUUUAUCUGGGGGAUAGCCUUUCGAAAGGAAGAUUAAUACUCCAUAACAUAUUGAUUGGCAUCAAUUAAUAUUGAAAGCUCCGGCGGAUAGAGAUGGGCACGCGCAAGAUUAGCUAGUUGGUGAGGUAACGGCUCACCAAGGCGAUGAUCUUUAGGGGGCCUGAGAGGGUGAUCCCCCACACUGGUACUGAGACACGGACCAGACUCCUACGGGAGGCAGCAGUGAGGAAUAUUGGUCAAUGGGUGCAAGCCUGAACCAGCCAUCCCGCGUGAAGGACGACUGCCCUAUGGGUUGUAAACUUCUUUUGUAUAGGGAUAAACCUACCCUCGUGAGGGUAGCUGAAGGUACUAUACGAAUAAGCACCGGCUAACUCCGUGCCAGCAGCCGCGGUAAUACGGAGGGUGCAAGCGUUAUCCGGAUUUAUUGGGUUUAAAGGGUCCGUAGGCGGACUUAUAAGUCAGUGGUGAAAGCCUGUCGCUUAACGAUAGAACUGCCAUUGAUACUGUAAGUCUUGAGUAUAUUUGAGGUAGCUGGAAUAAGUAGUGUAGCGGUGAAAUGCAUAGAUAUUACUUAGAACACCAAUUGCGAAGGCAGGUUACCAAGAUAUAACUGACGCUGAGGGACGAAAGC